GAUGAACGCUGGCGGCUUGCCUAAUACAUGCAAGUCGAGCGAACAGACGAGGAGCUUGCUCCUCUGACGUUAGCGGCGGACGGGUGAGUAACACGUGGAUAACCUACCUAUAAGACUGGGAUAACUUCGGGAAACCGGAGCUAAUACCGGAUAAUAUAUUGAACCGCAUGGUUCAAUAGUGAAAGACGGUUUUGCUGUCACUUAUAGAUGGAUCCGCGCCGCAUUAGCUAGUUGGUAAGGUAACGGCUUACCAAGGCAACGAUGCGUAGCCGACCUGAGAGGGUGAUCGGCCACACUGGAACUGAGACACGGUCCAGACUCCUACGGGAGGCAGCAGUAGGGAAUCUUCCGCAAUGGGCGAAAGCCUGACGGAGCAACGCCGCGUGAGUGAUGAAGGUCUUCGGAUCGUAAAACUCUGUUAUUAGGGAAGAACAAAUGUGUAAGUAACUAUGCACGUCUUGACGGUACCUAAUCAGAAAGCCACGGCUAACUACGUG
rnacentral:rRNA from 1 species